CUAAAUAGUAUUCCAUAUGAGAGUUGUUUCUUUUUUGCUUGUUUGUAAUUAUUGCUUAAAUUCACCGCUCUGUAUAACCUGCGACAUUGUUUUUGUGCAUGCAUUUAUCAUUCAUUUUAUAACAAGCCUAAACUAGAAGAAAGGCUGAACCAAAUUCACUGCUGUCAUGAAGCGUCACCAGUAAACAAAUUUACCAAGACGAAAAAGCUAACUCAGUCAAAUUAUUUACUCAUUUGAUAUAUAGGGAGAGAUCUAAAAAUUAAGCUAGUGAAAAUAUAAUCUUCGAGCACCCUGAUUGUUGUAAGUUGUUUACUUCUGAAAUCACUCUCUUAUUAGAGUUUGAAAAGUUUCUUUUUUUAGAGUCAAUGGAAGUUUCUGUCUUCUCAAAAACAAAAAAAAGGAGAGAGAGGAAAAGGAACUUUUCCAAAUAUUUGUCCAGGAGGCCUUCAACAAAUCAGAUCCAGGACCAGAGGAAAAAAUAUGCCAAGAUGUGUAUCCUCCACCCUGUUGCAGCAGGGGUGCGCAUGGGUGUGCCUGUGACUUAUUAGUGGAUGGGAAUGUAAGCAUUCAGUGGGAAACGUGUGGAUGUGAGAGCUGCCGCCCCCUGGCCUACUUCUGCAGAGAACACUAUGUUCUUAAAACACUGAUCUCAUGCAGGGAGGGCAGUCAUACACACACACAAAAACUCACCCCCACACUCUCACACACACACACACACACACACACGUUCAGCAGGUCACAUGUCUCUUCAUGCUGUUAGGAUGGUUUGUUUUCUGAGGAUCACUCAGAGCAGAAGGGCUUUGAAAAGAGGAUGUUCCCUUUAAGAAAACGAACGCCGGAGAGCGCGUGAGCAUGAAUGUGCACAAACAGCCGAGGCACAUGAGCGUACACACAUGUAAUCUUGGUUGCACAGGAUUCCUCUGCCUGUGCGCCACUUGAUACUGGCUCAGAUUCCCCUAGAUCUGGUGCCGGUAACACAAUCUAUGCAGCUACAUCUGCUCAGCCUCUGCUUCUAACAACAACAGGUUCUUAUCUGCGAGAUCUCAUCUUUAAGAAACCCACCUAAGCUCAUGUCACGUUGCACCGUCCCCAUCACAUGACCCCAGCAAUGCAGCAGGUGGACCCUUUCAUGAGGUUGAUCUGAACUUUGUGCUCCAGGUUGAUCAAAGCAGACAGUAUUUUCUCGGUCUGAUUAACAUACAGGUGAUACGCUUGAUGGAGUCAUGUGCCAACAGUAGCACAAAAACUGUCAAAAGAUUGUGGAAAGUUGGGUUUAUGCGGGCUACAAAUUACCCUGAGUUGGUCAUAACAAAUUGGGGGCUCGUCCGGGCUCAUCAACAAAACCUCAGUAAACAAAUACUGCAGGUGAAAGGUGGUAUUUCAUAAUAAAAAUGUCCUUAAUAUUUAAAUUGUUCACAUAAUUAAACAGCUAAAUGUGGUCUGGUAGGGGUGAGCAAUUAUCAUACUGUUUAUCAUUUAUUAUGAUAAAAAAUGUUGAUUUA